UGGGGAAUUUUGGACAAUGGGGGCAACCCUGAUCCAGCCAUUCCGCGUGAGUGAAGAAGGCCUUCGGGUUGUAAAGCUCUUUUGUCGGGGACGAAACGGUUACGACUAAUACUCGUGACAACUGACGGUACCCGAAGAAUAAGCACCGGCUAACUACGUGCCAGCAGCCGCGGUAAUACGUAGGGUGCGAGCGUUAAUCGGAAUUACUGGGCGUAAAGCGUGCGCAGGCGGUUUUGUAAGCCAGAUGUGAAAUCCCCGGGCUUAACCUGGGAAUGGCAUUUGGGACUGCAAGGCUAGAGUAUGGCAGAGGAGACUAGAAUUUCUGGUGUAGCAGUGAAAUGCGUAGAUAUCAGAAGGAAUACCGAUGGCGAAGGCAGGUCUCUGGGUCAAUACUGACGCUCAUGCACGAAAGCGUGGGGAGCAAACAGG
rnacentral:rRNA from 1 species